rnacentral:snRNA from 18 species
UUACUUACCUGGGCGGGGCUUUUGGAGCUCAUGCAAACCAAAGGCCAAGGGGGAAGCGUUAGCCAUUGCACUGAGGCAUACGGUCCCGCUUACACAUUCUCAAAUGAGUUUGUGUGCGUCUAAAUUCGUUUGAUUCGGUGCUUCGGCACCAU